rnacentral:rRNA from 1 species
UGGGGAAUAUUGGACAAUGGGCGCAAGCCUGAUCCAGCCAUACCGCGUGGGUGAAGAAGGCCUUCGGGUUGUAAAGCCCUUUUGUUGGGAAAGAAAUCCUGUCGAUUAAUACUCGGUGGGGAUGACGGUACCCAAAGAAUAAGCACCGGCUAACUUCGUG